ACUGGGCCCUUAACUGUGUUUGCAGCAUGACUCCUAUUGUGAGACAACCCAGGAGCACAACACAGCACACAGAGAGUUUGUCUUUUAACAGUGGUUUAUAUACAAG